rnacentral:rRNA from 1 species
CCUACGGGAGGCAGCAGUGAGGAAUAUUGGUCAAUGGACGAGAGUCUGAACCAGCCAAGUAGCGUGAAGGAUGACUGCCCUAUGGGUUGUAAACUUCUUUUAUAAAGGAAUAAAACGAGGCACGUGUGCCUUUUUGCAUGUACUUUAUGAAUAAGGAUCGGCUAACUCCGUGCCAGCAGCCGCGGUAAUACGGAGGAUCCGAGCGUUAUCCGGAUUUAUUGGGUUUAAAGGGAGCGUAGAUGGGUUGUUAAGUCAGUUGUGAAAGUUUGCGGCGCAACCGUAAAAUUGCAAUUGAUACUGGCAGUCUAGAGUACAGUUGAGGUAGGCGGAAUUCGUGGUGUAGCGGUGAAAUGCUUAGAUAUCACGAAGAACCCCGAUUGCGAAGGCAGCUUACUAAACUGUGACUGACAUUGAUGCUCGAAAGUGUGGGUAUCAAACAGGAUUAGAUACCCUAGUAGUC